CCGGGGAAAGCCUGUUUAGGCUACCCUGUUUUAAUGAGGAAAAGUUUUAUUUCCUUUUCUUUUUUUCUUUUUCUUUUCUACUUCUCUUAUUCUUUCCCCCCGCGAGCCGUGCGUGCCCUAUUUCCCCGACCCCGAGCGGUUUCCCUUUUCUUCCUCUCUUCUCACUCGGAGCCGAUCCACUUUUCUUGCUCCUGUGCCCUAGCGCCGAGCCGCACUGCCGACGCUACUGCCGCCAGCGAUGCCGAGCGCCGGCCACCAGGACCGGUACCAAUCGUCAGUGCCCUAGCCUCAGCCCGCGACACCCAUCUCCUCGGGUCGCCACCGCUGGCAGCGGCGUUGCCAGCCGAAGCCCUAGAGUCGAUUCCUCUCUUCCUCGCUUCUCCUGAACGUCGGCAGAUGACCUAUUGCCUCUGCCCUAGCUUGGAUCGCGAGCCCUCCUCUGCGCCCUAGCUCCCUGAUUUGAGGAGUUUCCUCUUCUGCCAUUGCUGAGAGCCGAGAGCCGCCGUCGCACGGAGAGUGCCGGCCACCCUUCCUCUGCCCUCGAGGCCGAGCCACAUUGUCGAGUUCUCUUUUCCCUUCGUGCCGUCUGCUCUAGUCGCCUUGCACCGUCACCACAGCCGAACCACUUCACCGGCCACCAGGAUUUUGUGCUGUGGAGUGUCUGAUUUCCAGGUGCUAAUCCUCUCCGGCAGUAAAUUGCCUUGGCUGUGAUUGAAGGUUAUUGCUUGGAUUCCAGCAACUACCUCUGUUCCGGCAGCAACGUUACCGGUUGAGGCUUCAGAAUUAGGGUUUUGACACGAGACGAGCAUCUCGACGUCCGAGUUGGACCGGACUGAUCUUAUUUUCCU